rnacentral:rRNA from 1 species
AGUGAAUAGAUACCCCGGUAGUCCACGCCGUAAACGAUGGAUGCUAGCUGUACGGAGUAUCGACCCUCUGUGUAGCAAAAAGCUAACGCGUUAAGCAUCCCGCCUGUGGAGUACGAGCGCAAGCUUAAAACAUAAAGGAAUUGACGGGGACCCGCACAAGCGGUGGAGCGUGUUGUUUAAUUCGAUGGUAAGCGAAGAACCUUACCCAGGCUUGACAUCCUGUUAAUCUUUCCGAAAGGAAGGAGUGCCUUCGGGCCGCAGUGACAGGUGAUGCAUGGCCGUCGUCAGCUCGUGUCGUGAGAUGUUUGGUUAAGUCCAUCAACGAGCGCAACCCCUGUAGUUAGUUGGAUUUUUCUAGCUAGACUGCCUCGGUAACGGGGAGGAAGGAGGGGACGAUGUCAGGUCAGUAUCUCCCUUACGUCUGGGGCUACAAACACGCUACAAUGGCCGGUACAAAGGGCUGCCAACCCGCGAGGGGUAGCAAAUCCCAUCAAAGCCGGUCUCAGUUCGGAUUGCAGGCUGAAACUCGCCUGCAUGAAGCU